rnacentral:lncRNA from 1 species
AUGGCUUUACCCACAGGGGAAAAAUGUAGCAGCCUGAAUCGAAACCAGGACCUCCUGAUUCACAUGAACACAUGUGAUCCUGGCUAUCAUCUACAAGGAAGAAAUAAAAUAGAAGAACCAGAAAUACUAUUUGCAGGGUCGGUGGUCUGGGGAAUGAGCAAGUUUUUGUUCACACAUUCUAAUUGUGGUACAUUGCUGGAAAAGAAAAACAAAUCUCUGUAAGACUUUAGGUGUCUGCAACAAUUUCAUCAAAACUCAGAGGUAAGAAGGGUUGGGCACUUAACAGGACAGUUUGACAGCAUGUGCUGUCCCCUGGGAACAUGUCGUUUUGCAGAUAGAUGUAUACCACCACAAGCUAGGUCUCAGCUUAUUAGCCACCUCCUUUUCUUCUC